GGUUAGCAUAGCUACACAACAUGCUCACCAAUGUUAGCUAGAUUAUGGUAUAUACAAUAGACUGCAAUAUGUUUUAGGUUAGCAUAGCUUAACAACAUGCUCACCAAUGUUAUAUACUACACAACAAUAAAACUUGUUAUCUUAAAAGUUUAUGUUGUAAUGCGUUCACAUGAAGGUACAAAAUGAGGGGGUGGAGCUAAGUUUGGGCUAAAUCAGGUGUGAACACGUUCAUAUUUGAGUGACAUCACCAUGUUCCCAUGUGAUUGUAACAAAGAAAAUUAAAAUUUUAGUUUUGCUGCACAGAAAUGAGUUUGUAGUUCAAAUGAAUUCUGUAUUAAAUCAAAGCAACUUAAUAAAAUGUUGGAUGGAAAAAAAGGUCCAAAGGUCAACAAAAGACACUUGUCCUUCAUUACUUAACAAACAGCAAUGUUGGACUUAAACGUCCAGAUGUUGUCUCUCAACAACGAGUGACAGUGACAGAUAGAAGUGAGGUUGUGUCACAUGACCAGACCACAGGCGACUGCACAAACAUCUGUCCAUGUUUUAUUGACUCAACUACUUCUUCUAUGAAGGCAUAGAUCAUAUAAAAUUAUAAUUUGUUUACAUUUACAGAUCAACCAGCAGCGGUGGUUUUGUGCAAAUCAUUUGCAGUGUGGACACGGACAGCUGCGCGAGGACAGGGCGGAGCCACGUGUACUAAUGUCAAGUAAAAACCUCCUGGAUAAAGUCCAGACAUGGACAGAUGUUCUCACCAGGAAGAGAACCACGCUGACUCCAAUGUAGGCAAAGACAAUGCACAUCCAGAUCUCGUAGGCCAGCGGGUCCAGGAAGGAGAAGACUCCCGGUUUGGAUUUCUGCGGCUUCUUGAUCAUGAUGGAAAUUCCCAGAGACAUGAAGGGUUUGGAGAAAUCAAUCACCUCCUCUCGCACCAAGGUGAUGGUCAGCGGGGCGAUGGCUAUGUCAGCUUUCUGUUAGACAGAGACAUGGAGACAAAGUGUUUGACAGUGUCCACUCUUUAUAGACGUUUAAAAAUGCUGUACCAGUUCUCCCACCAUGCCGUUCCAGAUCUUGGUUUCUGCGUCUCUGGCUCCGUAUUUUCC